AUGAACAGCUCGAUGAAGAUCAGCGAUGUCAAUAUGGAAACAGAGGCGCUAGCAAAUCACAUCAAUAUCUUGCCAAUGCACAGUUCGAUGAAGGCCACCGAUGUCAAUAUGGAAAUAGAGGCGCUAGCAAAUCACAUCCGUCUCACACGACGAGGAGAGGGGGGGAGUGUGGAUGUGGGGAACAAGAAGAAGACGAAGAAGAAGGUUUUCUGUGUGCCGCAGGAGGAGCUGGACGACAUACUUUCGUUCCAGCUGCCGCCCACUUGGGCGUCUCUGGCUAAACGCUGCCCUUCACUCGUCGGCGAGUUGGAGAAGAUGAAGGACAGCUUUUUGGCCGAGCGGGAGAAGAUGAGAUUACAGUACCGGAUCAUGGGCUACGCCACGUUUGAAGCAGAGGUCCCCGAUGAGGAGGAGGAACAAGACACUUCGGUGGCAAUUCCUGUGGCGACAUCUUUUCACGGGGAGAAGGAUGAUGCGACGGCAACAUCUUUUCACGGGCAUAAAGAUGAUGCAGCGGUGACAUCUUUUCACGGGGAGAAGGAUGAUGCAACCGCGACAUCUUUUCACUGGGAGAAGGAUGAUGCAACCGCGACAUCUUUUCACGGGGAGAAGGAUGAUGCAACCGCGACAUCUUUUCACGGGAAGAAGGAUGAUGUGACGGCGACAUCUUUUCACGGGGAGAAGGAUGAUGCAGCAGCUACAUCUUCUCCUUGGAUUAUUCCGCGGGGAAGAGGCCGAAGAAGAUUUCGCCCAGGAGUCGUCAAGCAAGCAAGCGGCGUUAAGAAAAUAACGUAG
rnacentral:rRNA from 1 species